UCCCAUAUGGUCUAGAGGUUAGUAUUUCUGGUUUUCACACAGACUGCCAGGGUUCUACUCCCGGUAUGGGAA
rfam:Nematostella vectensis strain CH2 x CH6 NEMVEscaffold_224_Cont19619, whole genome shotgun sequence.